rnacentral:rRNA from 1 species
GAUGAACGCUAGCGGCAGGCUUAACACAUGCAAGUCGAGGGGUAACAGGGAAGAGCUUGCUUUUCUGCUGACGACCGGCGCACGGGUGCGUAACGCGUAUAGAACCUACCUUUUACAGGGGAAUAGCCCAGAGAAAUUUGGAUUAAUGCCCCAUAGUAUUAUUGAAUGGCAUCAUUUAAUAAUUAAACAUUUAUGGGUAAAAGAUGGCUAUGCGUUCUAUUAGCUAGAUGGUAAGGUAACGGCUUACCAUGGCAACGAUAGAUAGGGGUCCUGAGAGGGAGAUCCCCCACACUGGUACUGAGACACGGACCAGACUCCUACGGGAGGCAGCAGUGAGGAAUAUUGGACAAUGGAGGCAACUCUGAUCCAGCCAUGCCGCGUGCAGGAAGACGGUCCUAUGGAUUGUAAACUGCUUUUAUAUAGGAAGAAACCUUUCCACGUGUGGAAAGCUGACGGUACUAUAAGAAUAAGCACCGGCUAACUCCGUGCCAGCAGCCGCGGUAAUACGGAGGGUGCAAGCGUUAUCCGGAAUCAUUGGGUUUAAAGGGUCCGUAGGCGGACUAAUAAGUCAGGGGUGAAAUCCAACAGCUUAACUGUUGAACUGCCUUUGAUACUGUUAGUCUUGAGUUAUAUGGAAGUAGAUAGAAUAUGUAGUGUAGCGGUGAAAUGCUUAGAGAUUACAUAGAAUACCGAUUGCGAAGGCAGUCUACUACGUAUAUACUGACG